rnacentral:rRNA from 1 species
GACGAACGCUGGCGGCGUGCUUAACACAUGCAAGUCGAACGAAAAGAGGGAAAGAGCUUGCUCUUUCCGGAAUUGAGUGGCAAACGGGUGAGUAACACGUAAACAACCUGCCUUCAGGAUGGGGACAACAGACGGAAACGACUGCUAAUACCGAAUAAGUUCCAAGGGCCGCAUGGCCCAUGGAAGAAAAGGUGGCCUCUACCUGUAAGCUAUCGCCUGAAGAGGGGUUUGCGUCUGAUUAGCUGGUUGGAGGGGUAACGGCCCACCAAGGCGACGAUCAGUAGCCGGUCGGAGAGGAUGAACGGCCACACUGGAACGGAGACACGGUCCAGACUCCUACGGGAGGCAGCAGUGGGGAAGCUUCCGCAAUGGGCGAAAGCCUGACGGAGCAACGCCGCGUGAGUGAUGACGGCCUUCGGGUUGUAAAACUCUGUGAUCCGGGACGAAAAGGCAGAGUGCGAAGAACAAACUGCAUUGACGGUACCGGAAAAGCAAGCCACGGCUAACUACGUG